CCUCCGCCUCCGCCUCUCUCUCUUCUUUUUUCUUCUGCAAAUCUAAUGCGUGUUCUUGAUAUUUACUUCUUCCAUAUGGAUCUGCAAAGUUCUAGUGAGUAUUCGAGAGAUUAAGAAAUCAGGGUUUCAGGAGAUAGAUGAAAAAUUAGGGUUUCAAAAAUCAGAAUUUCUUCGUCUCUCACAAAAAUUUAGCUGAAGGUUUGAUUUGCUUUUCAAUUGAAUCCGAGAAGAACAAGAAGAUGCCGUUAUGUAAUGUGAGUAGAAGGAAUCCAGAAUUGGAUUAAGAUUUUUUACAGAACUCAUGGUCAUGGUCCUAACAAAGUCCUUCUCAUCAUUGGAUUAGCAGGAACGCAUGAUUCAUGGGAUUGCAUGGUCCUCGGAGUGUCAUCUAACUGGUUAUUAUCUUGGACGUGAUGCUGAUUCUGGACAUGAAGAAUACGAUGAUGAUGAUGAAUGUGACUCUAUGGAUGGUAUUUCUGGGGAGGAUAGGGACUCUGAGGAAUUCAAGUAUGAUUCUGAUAAUGAUGAGUACCUUGAGGAUGAUGGUGAGGAUCUUGAUAUGUUUCCAUCAGGCAAGAGUGCAGGAGAUAGAGGAUAAUGAGAAACCUACUGAUAAUUGGAAUGCAAACAGCAAACAUCCUAAGAAGUCAGAUGAACAGAGAAAUGUUGUUGAUGGUUUCGAUUGUUGUUUGAAUUUGAGUUGGAGUUGACAUGUUCAAAGGGUUUUGUGUGAUUCAAAUCAGUUAUGGUGGUAAGAAUUCAUGGGUUUUGUUGUCGUCUAUUGACCAAAAAAUCAGGGAAAUACUGGAAAGAACCUGAAGGUGUGAAGAUUUUGAAUCUUGAAGUUUGAACCUGAGGCAGGAAACAACAAGAGAGCUAGGCUGUUCUUGGUGCUGGUAAAGAAGCUGUUUGCCAAGCUGUUGAUGGUUCAGGUUGGCUCGAGUUUGAGAUGUUCUUAUAGAAAUCUUGUAAAUGCAAUACAAUACAAGUGUGUAUGCUGGUUUCCGGGAGUCCUAUAAGAACCUCGGGCAAAGUAGUUAUCAGGAAUCAGAUUGCAUCUUGUUUAGGUAUGCGACGGCUAGUUUCUUCUCCUAUGAUGGCAUGUUUUUUGCAAUGGAUGGAAGAGACACCUCAAGCACGAAACCUUCUUAAACUCAUCACUCAGCUGCUGCAACUACACAAAGAUCUCCUGCAUCUAGACAUCAGAUGGACCUAGACCGGUGUCUCCUCUUCUUACCCAGGGAUCCCCAGUUCAAGAGAAGUUUGCUAUGCAGAAGUCCCCUAGCAGACAUAAGUAUCUGACUGAAAGGCAGAAAUCUGAUGUAACUAAACAUAUGUCUUUUGCUUCCAAGCAUCAGUGCGCUAACUCUCAAGAGAUAUCUCAAUCUACGGAAUCGAAAUUCAAAACUAGACUCCCAGUGACUGGGGAAUGCAAACUGGCCCAUACCUCACUAAGGAACAUCUUUGCAGUUACUUUUCAUCAAUCAGCAGCAAAAAAGAUAAUGCAUGGAGUUCCACUUCAUGAUGAUUGCAUCAGAGUUUCGUAGCUUGGCCAAAAGCACUUGCGACCUCUUGCUCUAUUAUAUAGCCACUUGUAGAUCCUAAUGAACAUGGUGCUGACCCCAAAGGCUAAGUAGAUGAAGAACAAGAAAUCUCCAGCUAUGAAUGCUCAGAGAACCAGCAAGAGUCAUUGAGAGAAAUAGUACCUUAGACUGCGAAUGUUCAGACUUUUUGAAUCGCCAAUUGAAUAUUUUAUGUUUUAAGAUUUUGCACGACUGAUCAGACAUAUGAGAGGUUUAUCAUAUGAUUAAUAAAAAGUAUUUUGGACCAAUUAUUGUUUUGCAA